rnacentral:lncRNA from 1 species
UGUUGGGAAUUGUGUCCCAAAGCCAAUUUUUAAUUGUAAGAAAUUGGAUUAUGUAUAUAUAUUUUAUUAAAAUGAAUAAAAAUUUAUUCUGGUAAUUUUCUAUUCAUCACAAGUGUUGCAUCUUCAAAUUGAACUCCUGUGUAUUGUGAUGAAGUCCUUAGGACUAAUUUAGUGGAUAAAAGAGGUUUUAUCAUUUAGUCCUUAAACCAGUUCGCGACCAAAUGACAAGCUGUCAAUUGGACGAUAGCUAUG